rnacentral:rRNA from 1 species
GGAGUUAGCCGGUGCUUCUUCUGUGAGUGAUGUCCUUCCUGCCGGCUAUUAACCCGCAGGCCUUCUUCCUCACUGAAAGUGCUUUACAACACGAAGGCCUUCUUCACACACGCGGCAUGGCUGGAUCAGGGUUGCCCCCAUUGUCCAAUAUUCCCCACUGCUGCCUCCCGUAGGAGUCUGGGCCGUGUCUCAGUCCCAGUGUGGCUGAUCAUCCUCUCAGACCAGCUACGGAUCGUCGCCUUGGUGAGCCGUUACCUCACCAACCAGCUAAUCCGACAUAGGCUCAUCCGAUAGCGCGAGGCCCGAAGGUCCCCCGCUUUCCCCCGUAGGGCGUAUGCGGUAUUAGCCUGGGUUUCCCCAGGUUAUCCCCCACUACCGGGCAGAUUCCUAUGCAUUACUCACCCGUCCGCCGCUCGCCACCAGGGAGCAAGCUCCCCGUGCUGCCGCUCGACUUGCAUGUGUUAGGCCUGCCGCCAGCGUUCAAUCUGAGCCAGAAUCAAACUCUGA